rnacentral:lncRNA from 1 species
UUUUUUGAAUUCUUUGCAGAAAUGGGAGUCUCGCCAUCUUGCCCAGGCUCAUUUCAAACUCCUGGGCACAAGCGAUCCUUCAUCUUGGCGUCCCGAACUGCUGGGAUUAAAAUGCAAAAAUUCUAUAAAGAGAAAAUUCCACCUCCUCUACUGUUAGUGGUGAAGCUCACAUAAGAAAGCCAAAAGAACUCAAGAGCCAAUUUGAGGACAUUCUUAUUACCUAAAGUAUGACAAUCUGAGCAUCAGUAAGAUCAUCAACUACAAACCAUUUUGAGAAACCGUAUUGCUAGUGAUAAUCUUGGUAUUGCUAUUCUGAGAUGGUUGAGUUUGCAUUGUGAAAUAAA